AUUGAACGCUGGCGGCAGGCCUAACACAUGCAAGUCGAGCGAGCGGCGGACGGGUGAGUAAUGUCUGGGAAACUGCCUGAUGGAGGGGGAUAACUACUGGAAACGGUAGCUAAUACCGCAUACCAUCAGAUGUGCCCAGAUGGGAUUAGCCAGUAGGUGGGGUAACGGCUCACCUAGGCGACGAUCCCUAGCUGGUCUGAGAGGAUGACCAGCCACACUGGAACUGAGACACGGUCCGUACACCUGCGGGAGGCAGCAGUGGGGAAUAUUGGACAAUGUGCGAAAGCCUGAUGCAGCCCUGCCGCGUGUGUGAAGGAGGCCUUCGGGUUGUAAAGCACUUUCAGCGGGGAGGCGUUACCCGCAGAAGAAGCACCGGCUAACUCCGUGCCAGCAGCCGCGGUAAUUC
rnacentral:rRNA from 1 species